ACACCAACCUCGGUCAACCAACCAAGCCAAUUAAUGGCUUAUGCUUUUUGCAUGUAAUCGGCUGGCCCCUUUUUGCCAUGUUUCUCCCGUGCUAUUCUACCUUAUUCCUUCUUAUUCUCCUUCAUUUACCUUCAUUCCAUCCGAAUAGAUAAAAACUAAGAGAGUUGAGAGCUAAAAAUAAGUGAGAACUCUAAACAUUUCUGAAGGAAGAUCAGAGAUCUCUACAAACUUUU
rnacentral:lncRNA from 1 species